GCUCUGCUCCAGCAACAGGGAACAGCCGGUUUCUCUGCUGAGUUUAGCCUCCUUCCCUUCACCCACAUGGUCGCCCUUCGCCUUCCUGGCCCCCUAAGUCACCUGUGGCCUUGUCAUCCUCCAGGCAUCACUCCCUGUCCAAGGCCUUCCGUCGCCCCUCUGGCGCAGGUGUCUCUAAAGAAUCCUGAACAGCAAGACAUGAAACCACAAAGAAUUCACAUGGUCUGCACAUUCAAAACUUCCAGGGAUUUUGGAGACUUUGCAAAACUUUACAUUCCUAAAGUUGUAUAUGCCACUUUACAGUUUAGAAGAGACCUUGCUUCAGAAAACAGUCAAAGGUCCUCAUUCUGCAUCAUCGUAGUCAGUUUUAUCUUGGGCACCAUAAAAUUCUACUUCUUCCCGCAGUAGCAGACUGAUGUCACCCACAGAACAUAAUGGAUUCUAGGAACAGGCCCACAGAGGAAAAGUGGGUGAGUAUAAAGAUAGGUAAGAGGAAGAGAGAAGCUGGAGGCUGGGGAUCUUAACCAUGUGUUUCCACUCAUUUCCACAUAAAACAGUUAAACCAGAAACUGCAGGAUAUUGAAAUUCCAUGUCUUGGGCCAAACUUUUACCUAACUGAUUUGACACGUUGAAUAGAAACACUAUGGCAAUAUCUAUGCACCCAAACUGUUGCAACUGGUUGGGAGCCAACAUAUUAAAAUGCAAUCAGGCUGGUGCGAUGGCUCACACCUGUAAUCCCAACACUUUGGGAGGCUGAGGCAGGUGGAUCACUUGAGACCAGGACUUCGAGACCAGCCUGGUCAACAUGGUGAAACCCUGUCUCUACUAAAAAUACAAAAAUUAGCCAGGCACGGUGGCACACACUUGUAUUCCAAGCUACUCAGGAGGUUGAGGCAGGAGAAUCGCUUGAACUAGGCAGGUGGAGGUCACAGUGAGCCAAGAUCACGCCACUGCACUCCAGCCUGGGCGAGAGUGAGUCCUUGUCUAAAAAAAAAAAAAAAAAAAAAUCACAAUCAAAUAACCCAUUUGGAGAAUAACUUCCUAUUUGCAUAAAUUUUCCAAACUGGUUUGUGUGUAUAGAAAUUCUCUACUUCUCGAUGGCUGACAGGACAAACCAAAAUAGUGACAGUUUGUAGGAUCUUUUUGGCAGGCUAUCAUAAUCCUAAUUUUAAAGCACGUCAGCAGUGUAGUCAGUGACUGUGUGACUAUGCUAGCAGUGUAGUGAGUAUGUUAAAAAGCCAAAAACUUCUGAUUUAUUCAUUACGGUGAAUCUCAGAGUAUGAUCAGCAAAUUAAAGUUACUACACGUUCAACAUUAGAUUUGAUGAUUUGGUGUUCUCGGCUCUUUCAAAAAAUUAUGACUGAGAAUAAAGGAAAGGUACACACUCUGGAUGCAAUGAAAUGAAUUAUUUAAUUAGUCUAUUGGUCUUAUUAGAACCUAGUAGCUCCAGGAAAUUCUUAACAAAUAUUUUUCUCCUGCAAUAUCCUCUAAAAGAGAAAAAGCAGUAAAGCACAGAAAGAAACAUCACACUGCUCGGAACCCUCGUAAAUAGUUUCUGAAUGUUAGCAUUUUUAGAAAAGAAUAUUAAAUAUUUUUAAAUGCUGAAGACAUGUUAAAUUAAGUACUAUCUGUUGAAAAUAACAUUUUAAUUCUAGAGUUUAGUCCUUUCCAUUGUGGUGAAUUUGAUGCAUUGAAAAGAAGUAAAAGAAUAUUUUUUUCUACAGUUUGGCAAUUUUGAACUAUAAUUUUUUUAUUCUGGUGAAAAACAUUUUGCAGAAAAUUAUGGAAACAUACCUAGGGACCCUGCAGUAAUAUUAUAGAUUUCUAAAAAAAAAAAAAAAACAUUGCAAUAUAGACAUGAAAAUUGAAUUCAAGAUUAGGAAGUAAACUGAGAAAACAAUAUUUAAAAAUAAUGCAGUUUAAAUGUGUCAUUGACUCAACAUUUCCCCCAUAUUCUAAAUCAAUAUUAAUAAUACAUUUCAGAGUGCAUCCGUUUUUGCCAUUGCUAAUUUUUCUCUAUUAUGCCAGAGUAUGAGUAAGAUUUUUGCUAUUUUUUAAAAAGGCUACAUUAAGAUUCAGCCUCAAAAGAGGUUCAAUUCCUAGUAACUGCAGGUGCAUGGCACUUACUGCUAAUUGGACAUGACAGCUUUUAGCAAAUCUGGUAGCUGCUAAAAGCCGCUGUUGCUGUGGUGCUGCCUCACCAGCACGCAGGGCAUGGUACCUCUCCGCUACCAAAGCUCCAUGUCCACAAAAUUUGCCAACUAAAAUACCCAGCCAACUCCUUCACUUAAAUGCAUAGAGACGGAAAUCUCAAAGAGCUAUCAACAAGGUCUCUGCAAGAAAAUGCAGCCCUCUUAAUGCAUAUUAAAUAGUCUCAUUAAAAUACUUCAGUAAUGCAUCUUUCUGUUAGAAUCUGUUGUUCUGAGCCCUAUAACCAUGUGGGGUAGGUUUCAAAAUAAAAUGCUGCUAUUAGCACAUUAAAUAAUUAUCUUCUCUCCUGUGUGCCAUACCCACUGGCUGGUACACUGUCGUUUUGGAAAAUAUUGUGAACCAAGUUAUAUCUGUGCCUCAUAUCAUCUUUUGUGUUUAUGUAGGAUGUUUGUUCUGAGAAAACUAAAAAUACUUGGUUUAAAUUGGAUCACAUUUUACCAGUUAAGUGAACCUUACCAGGUAAGUCUCCUGGUUUGGAUAUUAACUCUUUCCAUUUGGGUUUCUUUUUCCCCUAAAUUUCUACCUUCAGUAGAAGUGUUCACUUUUAUCAACAGUGAUUUUGAAAAACAUUCAAAGUCUGACGAAACUGCCAUCAGAGCACCAUUGCUGUCAUCCAUUUUCCAAGACCCUGCAUCUUAUUCUUAGCAUUAUGUGCAUUCUAUGAUGAUAAGCUGGGUUAUCAGAAAGGAGUCACAGGGACCACGUGAGAAGAGAAAAGUCCAGAAGUAGUAACAUUAAAAUAAUCAAACUUUCACUCUCAAACAGAUAAUGAACGAAUUGCCUGGCUGUACAAUUAUGGACCAAAUACAUGUAAAUAUUAUACAAGUGAGCAUUUGUUUCCACCUGUUUUCUAGUUUGACCCCAUAAAUCAUAGGCCUCAAAAAAAUCCCAGUGCAGAGCCUUUCCCUAAAGAAGUUAAUAUCACCCAUUUUAGGCAAAUUUGUCCAGGAUCAUAUGGCAAAGUCGGGCUCAGCCAAAAAUUGAGUUCACUAAUGCUGAUGCCAAGCUAAUUAAUGUUUCCUUAAAUAUCUAAAUUGUCUAUCAAAUGCUGUUCUAAGUGUCUGAAGACUAGUACUCAGACUCUUAAACAAUUUAAACUUCAGUUCUCCAAGGCUGUCUGCUUUUACUGCAUUUCGCAUAAAAAUAUUUUUCCUCUAUUUGGGUUAAUUUUCCAGGUUCUCCUCAAAUAAUCAUUGGGCUUCUGGAACAAAAGCUUACAGAAACAAGAUGAACAAUUUGAACUCUGACUUGUAUUUUCUAUUUGUCAGAACGUGAUUUUUUUUUCAACUUUCUAAUCACAGUUAUAAAGUCAAGCCUGAUUUUCAGAACGAAGUUUACCUGAUUGUCAAUAACUUCUCAAGUCCCCUAUCUUCAAAAAUGGCACAUUUGAUGGCAAAAUACAUAACCUGUCUGAAAGGUCUUGUUUUUACUGUUAGAAUUCGAGAAGAAACUUCUAUUUCAAAAAAAGCAAAGGAUUGUCUCUCACCCUAGAGGAAAACCAUGUUGGAAAGCUUGGCAAAGUUAUACCUGGUCAUUUACAAUUUUUUAUUAGAAACUUGGGAAAUGUUCUUCACUAAAAGAAACCUUUUAAAAUUCCUAGAGAAGUAGGUUCCUUGCUCACCGGCAUUGUGAGAACAUUGACCUAUAUCUGGGAAGGAGGAACCAAAUACCACCUCUCCCUGUUGCCCACCAUCCCACUAAACAUACUCUACAAAUUACCAGUCACCAACUCUUCAUCAGUGUCCAGACUGCCAUUAACUGCCAUUGCUGAGAAUGACUGAUUACACAGCAUCAAUUAUCAGAGACAGUAACAAAGAUAACUUUUACUUCCUGGAAAACUUUUGCCAUAGGAAAAAAUAUACUCACAAGUGUACAAAAAGAAAAAUUCAAUCCUGUAAAUGUGGAUAUACAUAACCAGAGCUGAAUUUUUUUCAUGAAGAGUUUGAAUACAUAAAACUCUUGAAUCUACAUGAAAAAAUAAACCAUGAAUAUCCUAAAAAGCAAGUAUUAGUUUACAUGACACAAUAUGAAAUGUAUCUAAGUGUCUUUCUCUGAUAACACCCAGCUAUACUCAUGUCCCCCUCCCUUGUUCCUUUUAUAUUUAAAACCUGACAUGUCACACAAUUAGCAUCUUAUGUAAAUCAUAUUUCAUAGCAUUUAUUAGCUGAGUGUUGAAAUCAUAUUUAUUAUGUAACCAUAAGAUGUUCUAUAGGCUAAUCCUAUUCACUAAUCACUAGAGGUCUCUAUAACUUGUUUCUCAAUGAGAUUGUAAGAUCUGUGUUAAUAGAGAUCUAUCUAGCAGUUCAUUUUCCCCCAUGGAGCUAAAUUUAUCACAGUGGCACAGCGAGCUGCCUCUCUGCCUGCCUCCCAGACUGGGGACUCUAUGAUCCCCUUCCUCCAGAGUAAUAUGGAGACACAGGGUGACCCAGCUGGAAUUCAUUUUCCAAGUCCACCCUGCAACUAAAAGUGGAUUGCCAAUGUAUUUUGAGAAGUAAUGUGUACAAUUUUCAUGUUUAUUGCUUAAGGGGAAAUGCCUAUGGGGACAGGUUGUUCAGCAGGUACAAAGUUGCAGUUAGAUGGGAGGAAUAAGUUCUGGUGUCCCAUUGCACAGCAGGGUGACUGUGGCUAACAAUAAUGUAUUGUAUAUUUCAAACUAACUAGAAAGGAGGAUUUUUAAUGCUUUACCACAGAGAAAUGAUAAAUGUUUGAGAUGAUGGAUUUGCUGAUUAUCCUGAUUUCAUCAUUACACAAUGCAUACACAUGUCAAAACCUCUCAUUUUAUCCCAUGAAUAUGUACAGUUAUUAUAUUCAAUUAAAUUAAAAAUAAUUUUUA